CAAUCAGCAAUCAGCCCGAGCAGCCAUUCCGCGCCCACCCCGGCGGAGCUUGUCGUCCACAACAGAGGCGCAGUUUUGCCUGAAUUUGAACGUUGCCUGCGUCCAGCUGCGGCCACGGAUUCAGGCUUUGAAUGUGAUGCAGUUAAGCACAAUGAGAAAGAUGACUUAAUGGGGCUAGAAAAUGUUUACAGUUAUUGAAGCUGUUCUGCGUUUUCAUCACUCAGAGAGAGAGGGAUGUAAGAGAUGAAAAUUUUCAGUGUCUCCAUCCUAUUAACAGUACUUCUAAUUAAAAAAGAAUAAGGAAAAGCAAAUGUGAUGCUUCCAAGAUGACUUUGAUCUUUUUAGGCAACUAAUGAUGGAUAUAGGGAACAAAUAUUGCAUCUCUCAUAGAGGAUAACAGAAGUCAAAAAAGGUAAAACUUUGGUAAAUCUCCAGAAGAGACUGAGGGGGAAAUUGUCUUUGCUUGUAGGUAAUUCGUUUGGUUUCUUUGUUGCCAAAGGAGGUUUGAGAUAAAAUCUAUGUCCCUUAAUGACCCUCUCAAAUUUUGGGGGGGAUGGAGAUUAGGAGGAGGAUGGUCCUUUAAACUUUUAGGGCCCAAUGGUCUCAUUAAGACCCUCUUAACAUAUCUUUAUGUGAGAUCUUAAAGAUUUGGCUUUUUGGAAUACUAUAUAAGGAUCAUAUUCCUGGAAAACAUAUCUGAGAACUGUCUGAGAGGAUGCUUGGGAAAAAAAAAAACAGCUUGGGUUAGUGGAUGGGUCAGAUUGGAUAUCCAUGGUAAAAAACUUUAAAGGGCUAUAUUAUAGAAAAAAGAUUAGAUUUUUCUUAUGGUCCAAUAAGAAACAAGAGGAGAAGUUACAAAGCGACAGACUUGGACUUGAUAGAAGAGAAAAUGUCUUACUGUCCUAUCCUGAAUUCUGGGUGAUUAUUAUUAUUACACAGGAAUUUUAUUUCAGAUAUAGGUUGGACAAGAUGACUUUUGAUAUUCUUCCAACUCUAAGAUCUGAUUUGAAUUGCCACUAGAUAAGAAAUAUCUCUUUUUAUUAAAGACUUAACAGCAUGCUUCUUUCUAGUGAUAAGGCUAGAUGAUGGGGGAAUUAAAGACUAUAACACCUUUAAAGCAAUUUAAUAUCUUAUUGAUAAAAUAAAAGUUCAUAAUUUACAUAAAUCAGUCAAUAAAUAGAAAUAAUAAAAUAGCACAUCAAUUUCUUGUUUGUAGAGAUCUAUGACUGAGGGCCAUCCUCAAAGUUGCCACUCCCAUUUCUAGUGGACCAUGUGGGAUUUUUGAAGCUUAAUUGCAACUAUGUGUAACUCAAAACUGAGAAGGACAACCUCUUAUUGGGUUCAGUGAUAGAUGUGCUGAUUUCUAAGGGGAGGUACAAAAGGGAGUCACUUUCCUCUCAUCUCUCUUCUAACUGUGACUCUUCUGUAUCACAGGUAGGAUACUCUAGAAACCCAUAAAGGGAGAUGAGAGAAUGGGUAGCAUAUUUAUUCCCCACUCUGGAUACCAACCAAGAUGAACUCAACUUGGUGUGUUUCUUCCUGGGUUCCUGGCUGUCUUUUCUGCUUGAUAUUUUCUUUCCUGAGUAGGUGACUGAAGAUGACUUUUGAGGUGGAAAUGUUGAGGAUUUUGUGAAUCGGGAGGUUUGAAAGCCCUGAAUCCAGCAGCACAAAUGGCUGUUGGCACAGAUGUAGCCAGAGAAGACAGUCAAGUUUGGAAGAGGAUUAAGUUUGAAGCAAACCUACAGUGCCAAGCUGACAUAAAAUGCAGAAUGCCUAAUGACCAACUUCACAGAUUGUGUUAUGUUGUGAUGAUAACUAUGAUCUUCCUAGAAGUUAUAAUUAUACCAGGUAUUGAAUCUCAUUCUGUUAAUGUGUAUUUGUGAGAUUUCUUUUUCUGUUUAGCAUUUCCUUUGUGUAGAGGAAUAAACUAUUUACCCCAUACUAGAUUCAUAUUAUAUAAUAAAUACCUUCUUUUUUAUUCUUUAAACUUCUCAAAAGAACCCCAGAUAGGAGCCCUAGGUAGAAUAUUUUUCAAGAUCCCAUUGUGGGGAUGGAGAGAAAGCUGAAACAGAGCUUAACUGUUCUUAUUAUGCAGAUCAUUCUGGACUGAACCAUGGUCACAAGUUUAAUUUGCUCACUGAGGAACAGGAAAGGGUCCGAGACACAUGGCCAAAGCUCCUUGUGGACUCAGCAAAGGUUCUACCAUACUGUUCAACAAUCUCUUUGAUUUCUCCCCAAAUGUAAAGAUAACCUAUGACCAAAUGUAUUUCUAUUGGUUCAAAGACUCUUUCAAGCUUUUUGCUCAGCAUUGUUCCCUUGGCUCCCAAUUGUGUGACUCAGUGUCAGCUACAAUCAGGAAAAAUGCUAGCCUCAUUUUUCAUUUACUUAUGUACUUAUUUUGAUCGAAAUGAAUUGUUUUUAUUGAUUGGAAGUUGCAGGCUUGUUCCUAUCCCUAUUAUUCUAUGAACCUAAGUCUAAAUUGAAACUGUUGACUUAAGUUUAAAGUAGGCACAUUCUCUUUUCUUCUUGUGUGGUUCUCUUGUUCACUGAAGAAGUUGGCAGGAGCCAGAUAAAUGAACUCAACUCACUUGUGUCCACUUUGUUGUUUUCCCUGAUGGUUUUUUUCCUCCCCCCACCUCUUUUCUACUCCCUCUCUUGUUUUUUUUUUUAA